rnacentral:rRNA from 1 species
CCGAUCCCAUCCCGAACUCGGAAGUGAAACGUAGCUGCGCCGAUGGUAGUGUGGCCUAAGCCAUGCGAGAGUAGGUCAUCGCCAGGG